GGGGGGAUUCCAGAGCGGUCAAAUGGACCAGACUGUAAAUCUGUCGGCUUAGCCUUCGGAGGUUCGAAUCCUCCUCCCCCCA
rnacentral:tRNA from 1 species